ACUGCCCCUAGAGGCAUUGCAGGUGUGGCUGCUGUGUCACGGGUGCGUCAGUAGGUGGCAGAGUGGAGAGAGGCAGUGUCCGUGCUCAGCAUUCUGACCUACAAACAUCUGAAUGGUAGCCUGAAAAA